GGUUUUUUUCUGGAGAGGGGGAGAGGAAGGAGGAGGCCGAACCCGAUCUGCUAGGAAGUGGCUAUGUUCCCGACCAGCUUAGGAGGAGAAGGGGUGGGGAGCUUGGAGGUUAAAAACACUGCCAUAUUAACUAAGUGGGGCAGGAGAGUCUUGAUGGAAAAGGAAGUGCUUUGGAGAGAAGUAAUUGCCAGUAAUUACUGUCUCCUCCCUUAAAGAAUGAUGGCUGGUUUUUAAAAGAGGGAUCAAUUCCAAAGGGCCGGCCAUGGGUUAACGUUAGCCGGUGCAGAUGAGAUCGUUUCUCAUUUCCAAGAUUGGGAAGACUGCAGUUCCUUUGGGUUUUGAUGUUGAAGAUAACAACUUCAAGAUGAAGCUCCAAGGGGGAAAAAUUGAACGUAAAGGUCAUUUAUCAGUGGCAACAGAGAUUUUUCAGGUUGCUCCUUCAUUGUACAUGGUUGAGCUUCGCAAAGCUGGGGCGAUAUUUUAGAAAUUCACAAGGUACGAAUGAAUACAUUAUACAUUUAUAGCAUCUACGAAAUAAAAAAUGCACAUCGGUUUGACGAUUGAAAUACAUAUUUGAGAAAGAGAUUCUAUAUUCAGCUCUAUCUUUGUUCUUCCUUUAAUAUUGUGUCAACUUACAUUUCUAUGCUUCUCUAACAGUCAAUGAAUGAUGCUCUAGAUGAUAAUUUAGGUACCCUGCUAUGUUUUAAGUUAAUUUCUUGCUAUACAUAAUCAUCUGUUAGUUACAAAGUUCUAUCAGCAUUAUCCUGUUAUAUUCUUAGCUCUAUAAUAACCCCUCAGCUGGAUUGAAAAAUAUUGUAUGGAGACGAGGUGGAGUAGGAAACCGAUGGUAAGCAUGUUGCUUUGCUCUCAUUAAGUUAAAUGAAAGAAUAUAUACAGAGAAUACCAAAAGAAAAUCCAGUGAACAAAAUGAGCAAAAAUAGACUAACAUGGAUUUUUUACUUUUGAUUCCCUAGGUACUGGUUGUUGAAAACUCUAGGUUAUAGCUUUUGAGUGCAUAUGUUGUUGAAUUGACUAUCAGCUCAAUAAGAACGAUAUAAUUCAAGUCUCUACUAUUUGGAGAUAGGUUUGCAUCAUGUACAGGUAAGAAGCAAGCUAUAAUUAGUUAUCAAUAACUUCCAGGUCUUUGGGUCAAACAUUGAUGGAUGAUGCUAGAAAGAGUCAUUAUCAUAUGAUUUUUUCAAGGCUCCAGACUCACCCGAAAUCUAGCAGUGGAAGGGAGGGUCGUGUUGGAAAAGGACAUCAAUGUUUGUUUCUCUCUCUUUACUCACCAUAGCCAAUACGUACAUAAGGGUUUAUUUACAGGUGGUGAAGGUGAAUGUGAAAAGAAAAGUUGUUAUCUUCCAUCUACCUCUCUCAAUCUUCUUCCCCCUUCAACUUCACGUACUCUUUCUCGAUCCCUCUCAUUUUUUGAAGUUUAAUUAAUGUAUGAUUACUUUUUAGGUAAAUAAAAGAACCAAAUCCAAACUCACCCAAAAUAUAGCUAUGGAAGAGAGGGUCAGACUAGGAAAGAACAUAAGGGUUUGUUUCUCUCUCUCUACUUGCACUUUCUCCCUCACUCACCGAUAAAAAUGCAUUUUGCAGGGAUGAAAAAUACUAAAAUAGAAUACAUAAAGCAAAUACGUACAGAAGUUGAAGAGAAAGGAAGUUGUAAUCCUUCCAUCUCUCUCUCGACUUCAGGUACUCUUUCUCAAUCCCUCUCUCUUUUUCUUAAGUUUUAUUGUUGUAUGAUUAUUUUUUAGGUAAAUAAAAGAACCAAUCCAGACAUCCAAAAUAUAAUUGUAGAAGGGAGGGUCAGGCUAGGAAAGGACAUCAAGGUAAAUAAAAGAACCAACUCCAAAGUCCAGACUCACCCAAAAUAUAGCUAUGGAAGGGAGGUUCAGGCUAAGAAAGAACAUCAAGGCAUGGAAAAUGCAAUACGUAUAGCAAAUACGUAUAAAAGUUGAAAAGAAAGAAAGUUGUAAUCCUUCCAUAUCUAUCUCUCGGUCUUCUUCCUCUCUUGACUUCAGGUACUAUUUCUCAAUCCCUCUCUAUUUUCUUCAUGUUUAAUUGUUGUAUGAUUAUAUUUUAGGUCAAUAAAAGAACCAAUCGAGACUCACCCAUAAUAUAGUUAGUUAUGGAAGGAAAGGUCAGGCUAGGAAAGGACAUCAAAGUUUUUUUUUUCUCUCUACUCACUCUUUCUCCCUCUCUCACCGAUAAAAAUGCAUUUUGGUAGGGAUGGAAACAAAAUAAAUAUAACAAAUACGUACAGAAGUUGAAGAGAAAGGAAGUUGUAAUCCUUCCAUCUCUCUCUCUCUCGAUCUUCUUUUUCACUCGACUUUUAGGGAUGGAAAUUAGAAUACAUAUAUCUAAUACGUGCAGAAGUUGAAAAGAAAGGAAGUUGUAUUCCUUCCAUUUCUCUCUCUCGAUCUUCUUCCUCUAUCUACUUCAGGUACUCUUUCGCAAUCUCUUUUCUUCAAGUUUAAUUGUUGUAUGAUUAUUUUUUUGGUAAAUAAAAGAACCAAUUCAGACUCACCCAAAAUAUAGCUAUGGAAGAGAGGGUCAUGCUAGGAAAGGACAUCGAGGUUUGUUUCUCUCUUUACUCACUCUUUCUCACUCUCUCGCAAAUAAAAAUGUGUUUUGUAGGGAUGGAAAACAGAAUACAUAUGGAAAAUACAUACAAAAGUUGAAAAGAAAAGGGAAGUUAUAAUCACUUCCAUCUCUCUCUCUCAACUGGGUACUAAUUUUUCU